rnacentral:rRNA from 1 species
AUUGAACGCUGGCGGCAUGCUUUACACAUGCAAGUCGAACGGUAACAGGCCGCAAGGUGCUGACGAGUGGCGAACGGGUGAGUAAUGCAUCGGAACGUGCCCAGUCGUGGGGGAUAACGCAGCGAAAGCUGCGCUAAUACCGCGUACGAUCUAUGGAUGAAAGCGGGGGACCGUAAGGCCUCGCGCGAUUGGAGCGGCCG